GAAUAGACAAUAAAAAGAAAUAAACAUUAGUAUUAUUAAGAAUUUAUAACAAAAAGUUUUGGAAAAAGAAUUUUAGAGAUUAGAAAACUAAGAAUGAGGAGAAGAAAGAGAUGAAGCUCAUGUUUCUUUUAGAGAAGAAGGUUAUGAAAAACAGUAGAGGAUCAAUUUAAUUGAGAUUUAUCAGAGUGGCGCAUCGAAAGCUAGGAAUGAGUAGCUUACUAAUUGAAUUGCUUAAUUGUAUUGCUUGAAAUGUAAUUUGAAAUAAUAUGUUUGGUUGAAAUUGUUGUUAAAGAUAAUUAGUGGAUUUAUAUGCUUAAAUUCAGGUUAUAUAAAGUUUCAAUUAUGUUUAUGUAAAA